AUUCUAUUCCGUUCAUUUCAUUCCUCUUACAAUGAUGGGAUAUGACGGGUGUCUAUCGUAAAUUCGUAAAAAAAACCAUUUUGUUCAACUAUUUUAGUUACGAAAAUAUUUUGUGACAAGACAUUGUGAGUUCGCGCGUGUGCCUGUGUUAUAUUUGUGUGUUAUUCAGAGUUUUGAACAACGUUUUUCAUCGUAUUCGCUGCUCAACGUAAUUCGAUUCAAGCCAGCCAAUGAAACAAGACUGACAUCUACAUAGUAUUAUGUAGCAAGCAUAUACAUAACUUAGUAUAUAACAUUCCAAUGUAUCGAACCUUAAUAUUAUGAGUACUGGCCAAAGUUUUUUAAAUUGAACACGUUUACAACAAAAUGGCUACUCCAGUUAAGUCGGUGAUGGAGGAGAAUGAGGGCGAUGAAGCGAAGGAGAAGCUUUUAGAAGGGAAUCAGGUGUUGGUCGUGCCGGCGGCCGCGCAGAAUCAAGAUGGCGGUUUGGCAGCUGUCAAGUCUUCGAAGAAAGUGAAGUUACCGGAGGACUCGAACGCGGUAUGCGGCGGCCGGUUCACGAUCGGCCCGGCGCCGGAACGCGACUGGGAGAUGGUGCCGCCUGACGGAAAGUGGGGAUGGUGCGUUCUCGUAGGUGCAACGCUAGUGAACAUCUUAAUCCCUGGUACGAUCAAAUCGUUCGGAGUACUUCUGGUGGAGUUCAAUGAUGUGUUCCAGUCCAGCGCCUCUGCAUCAUCAGGCAUCGUGGCGCUGUGUUACUUCUUGUACAGCAGUUUGGGACCUCUAUCAUCGAUAUUAUCAGUGAAAUGGUCGUAUCGCACGGUGACGCUGAUAGGCGGCAGUUUCGCAGCGUUUGGAAUGAUAUUCAGUAGCUGUGCGUUCUCUAUUACUUAUUUAUACUUCAGUUUCGGUGCCAUGGUGGGCACGGGCGCUGGGUUAGCCUUCCCCCCUACAGUGUACAUAGUGACGUCAUACUUCGUGCGCCUAAGGGGGCUGGCCAACGGUAUAUGCAUGUCGGGCAGCGCAUUCGGCAGUAUCAUCCUACCGCCCGUGCUUAGGUACCUGCUUGAGGAGUAUGGGUAUAAAGGAGCAGUUCUAAUACUGGGCGGUAUUAUGCUCAAUGUGUGGGCAGCUGCGUUGCUGUUCCAACCAGUGGAAGAGCACAUGGUUCGGAAGUACAAGGAGCCUGAAGAGGAUGAAGACGGUCCACAGUUGGAACCCUUUAUAGAAGAAGACGCUGGCGAUUUAGAAGAUUCAGAGCACCCCAAGUUAACUUUAACCCCAGAAGAAAUGACCCCAAACGACAAACAACUCAACGGCUCCCCCCCAAUCUUCAAAAACCAGUCCCAUGUCGCGUUAGAGGAGAAUCCGAAGCAGGAUUUCGCUAGAUCAGCAAGCGCGGUACAAGUGAUGGCUAGAGAAGGAGAUCGGACCAGGAAACCAACUCCAGUCUCCUCAAGACACGGCCUACAGAAUAUAUCAAGCAAGAGCCAUUUGCCUAGCAAUCCUUCUUUACUAGAAUCUGUACCAGAAGGGCGUAGUCGCGUUAACUCUCAAGAAGCCUUCGGCAAGAAGCUAGGUGUCCCCAAAACGCCAAAACGGAGUCCAUCUACCUCUAGUUUCCAGUACAUGUCGACACCUUUCCAUGGUUCUACAUUAUCAGCCUUUGAGAAACCAAGCGAAUUUGCUUCCCAAUUCAGCUUAAAAUCUGUUACCGAUAGCUUAGCUCCCAUAACCUACUGCUGUGGCUGCAAAAAGAAAAGUAAAGAGGAUGAUGCAAAGAAGGAGCCUAGCAAAUAUUUCGAUAUUCAACUUCUCAAAGACCCUAUUUAUUUAGUCAUACUAAUAUCGAAUUGUACUUGCGCCAUUUCCUAUACAAAUUUUAUUAUUUUAGUUCCAUCUUAUGCUAAAGAAUGUGGUUUCGAUAAAUCGCUUGGAGCUUAUUUAUUGUCGAUCAUAUCAGCUUUAGACUUGGUCGGUCGUAUUGGCGGUUCGGCGCUAUCCGAUUUAGUGCUCACUCCAAAACGAUAUUUCUUUAUUUUUGGCUUGUUACUAUCAGGUAUAAGUUUGUCAAUGAUACCUUUAGUGUCAAGUUAUUCAGCUAUAAGUGCUUUCUGUUCUAUAUUCGGUAUAGCUUCGGGGAUAAAUGUGGGGGUGACAGCUCUAGUAAUGACUGAAAUGCUAGGAACAGAACGGCUGAUGUCUUCAUACGGUAUUAGUCUCUUUGUCAACGGUAUUUUGCAGUUAAUAGGGCCCCCUAUAUGCGGUUUCUGGUUUGAGUAUACACAGUCUUAUAAAUCUUUGUUUGUUACGUUAGGCUUUAUUCUAAUAUUUGGAGCGGCGCUAUGGGGAUUUGUACCCCUCAUUCAUAGGAGAAGACGUUUGGCCCAAACGAAUAAAGAGGGUACGGAUAAAGCGUAGUAUACAAUUCUUCUUAGAAAUGGUGACUCAUAAAUUUGUAUAUGUCACUCCUAUAAAAUAUAUAUUAAAGUGCACCUUAUAGUAAUGAUUUUAAAGUUAAAAUUCUGUCCCGUUGUCCUUGUAUAGAAGGUGUUCUAAAAGUAUCUGCCACGGCUUUAAUGGGAGGUAGUGUUGUGUUUGAAGAUUACAAUAGUGAAGAAACGUACCCCAUAGAAAUUCAUUUUGAGAACAUAAAGAAGUAAAGAAGUUAAAUAAACAUUGGCUCUACUCUGCAUAAAGUGGUUCACAAAUACGCACGAUGCGAUAGAGACAGUGAACGAGAUAGCUCUUUCAUAACAAACUCACACACUUCUUUGUAUGAAAAAAUAAAUUACUCAUAAUCAAUAAUUUAUAUUUACUACUAGCUUUCCGCCCGCGGCUUCGCCCACGUGUAAUUCGGUUAUAUAUAGCGUUUUUUAAUGAUCUCGACAGGGCUUUUUCUUCCACAGUCUGAUAGUCAUCAUCUCAUGUGAAUGAGCUGAUGAUGGAAGGUACAACUCCUCAACGGUUAGGAGUUGAAAGAAAAUUCUUACGAAGUUAUACGUACAUGUGAGGCUAUUAGGUUGACCUGAUAAUAAAAAGUAAAUCUCAUUAACGUUAAGAAUUUAGGUGAAAAUGGAUGCGGACAAAUUUCGUCUCUUCACUUGUUUCCUUUUAGCUGUUUGUAUGGGUAGUGUUAACACAAAAUAGGGAUUUAAAGGCGUGAUGUUAUUAAUGUUAUGCAUGUAUGUACAUAAUUAUGUAUGUUAUUAUGUAUGUUAAAGAGACGACUGAAAGUUGUCAUACAAAGUCUUUUUUUAAGGAUGGGAAAUCAUCAAAUGACCUCUCCCGCUCUGGGUGGAACGGAAGGGAGUGUCAAACUUUUACUGACUAAAACCCACCUCGUUCCUUCAGUUGCCCUUUGCGUUCCGGGGCCACGGUAUCUCGUUAGAACUUUCCCGCAGCCCCGGCUCAGUUUAUCCCGUUUCCCCCCUUGGGGGUUGACAUUUCAAAAAUCCCUUCUUAGUGCUCACUUAUGUUACUAAAGGAACCUCUGUUCAAAAUCUCAGACUCCUAUACCGAGCGGUUUCGGCUGUGCGUUAAUAAAUCAGUCACCCAAUCGCACCCCUAAAUCACGAUUGGAGGGUAGUUUGAAAAAACUUAUAAUGUCAAACAUAUUUACUUGCCUAUGUACGUGUUCAUGCCAAGUUUCAAGUUUAUAAACCCAAGGAAUAAGAUUUUGCAUAGAAACGUUUUUACCCCUUUUCCCCCCUUGGGGUUGAAUUUCCAAAAAUCCUUUCUUAGUGCUCCCCUACAUAUCCCAAGGAACCUACAUUCCAAAUUUCAGCUGUCUACGACCAGUAGUUUCGACUGUGCGUUGUCUGUCAGUCAGUCAGUCACUCAGUAACGGAAGAGUUUUAUAUACAAUGUGAUAGGCGUGGGACUUCUAACCCGUUAAGGCUGAGUACUACAUCUAAUUUUAUCGACAAAAAAAAUAAUAUGGGGGGUUGAACCCCUAAUUGAAAAUAUAGGAAAAUAGUGAUUUUUUCGGUAAGAAUAAUUCACAAAUUAUUUUUUUUUCUCACCAAAACAUUAUCAAACAUAUGAAAAAAGUAAUGAAUUAGUUAGCCAAGGUUAUUAGCUACCGUUUGUCGUCUUUUUUUUGUUUCUACGACGCAUACAACCUUUGAUAUCAAAAAAGUAAAAAAAAUAUUAAAAUGGCCAUAAUUUUUAGGGGAGGGGAUUCGACCCCUUCGACCCAGGACUUUUGUCGUUAAAAUGAAAUGUAGUAUUCAGCCUUAACGGGUUAGAAGUCUCGCCCCUAUCACAUUGUAUAUAGAUUGUAAUCUUCAAACACAACACUACCUCCCAUUAAAGCCGUGGCAGAUACUUUUAGAACACCUUAUAUGGCGAUUUUUAUUAAGUAUGUACUUAUUUUAGUUAUAUAAUAUGUCCAGUAUAUUUCAAACUCGAGAAUUUAAAAAAGUGAUUAUGUAUGUACAAAUUUCAUAUAUCUAUUAUAAUUUUAAACUUAAACUGAAGCUAAGAUAUGCUGGGCACUUAUCAAUAUAUAAAGAAAUACAAUUAUAAAUAAAUAAUGCUUAUACAUAUAAUUAUAAACUAAAUUAUGUUUAUACAUAAUAUAACAGAAUGUGAGUGAUAUGACGGUGUCUGUUAUAUUAUGUAUAACAUAAUUACAUAAUGAAAUACUUAUAAUAAUGGGUAUAUAUUUUUAUAUAUAUAACUUAGUUAUAAUUUUAUAUAUUUUAAUAUAGAAAAAUAAGGGAAUGAGAUAAUUUAUGGGUUAUUAUAAAAUCAUCAAUAUUAAGUCUUUGACUGCCAAUAGAAAACUGUUGAAGGCAAAUCCUCCGCUAACGUCGGUCACCGGUGACCACCACGGCGUUCAAUGUGUUAAAUAACGAAAUAUUAAUUAAAAAAAAUGUAUUUCUGAUGUUUGGUAAUAGGCUCGCUGCCUAUUAUAAAUAGGUUACAUAAAAAUGUGUAGGUACUUUAAGUACCUCUACUAAAUAUGAAAGUUAUCAAGUGGCAUAGCGUGCCCGUAUAAAAAUAAGUUUGGGCCCCCUUCCUUUUUUGAGGGAGGAAAAUCAUCCAAUGAUUUUUCCCGCCUAUCAAGCCUCAAAGAGGGGCCUUACCAAUGCUAUAACCAUGUUUGGGGGCCCUUAUGAAGACGUUAAAUUUCCUAAAGUUGCUGCUAACUUUUGAACUUUUGUAAUUUCUGAAUUGAAGAAAAACCAUUGGAAAGUUUUCAUUUUUUGCUUUGUACACGGUUUCAUACGGGGGCUCCUGGGUUACAGGGGCCUAAAAUUAAGAAAACUAUUGAUACGGCGCCAGCUAUGCCCCUGAAGUUAUGCCUAUUGCCAAACAUCAGACAUUAUUCAGUGUAUAUUGAACCUUAUUGUGUAGCAUUUACAGUUCGUAAUCCAAAUUAUCUGGUUUCCUUUACUCAGUAUCAAAGUGGCCGGUUACUUAUAUUUUUAAGCUAAUUUCCUAAUACCGGACGCGAGUCCACUAACAAUUAUAAUGACGCCUAUAAUCAGCAUCUACCGGGUAUAAGUCAUGCCUUAUGUUCGGCCAUGGGGUAUAUAAACGUCUUAAUGUCGGCAAUAUUUUAAAAUAAACGCAAAUAUUAACUAUCACAGUUAAAAAUAAUUACAAAAUUACGGUUUUCUCACGUAAAUUGGAGAAAAGACGCACGCUGUUCAUGAUAAAGCGUGACUCGAAACUAAUAGAGCUUUUCUCCAUUAGUGUGUGUAAACCGUGAUUUUGUAGUUAAUUUAGGAUGUCUCAAUUAAUAUAAAAAAUACAAAUAUCCAGUUUUUAGUGAAUGUCGCAAAUAAUUUUCAGUUUUAAGUUUAAGAGAGUGUUGUUAACAGACCGGAGAUUGGAAUUAUGCCCAGUGAUAACCAAUAAUUUAGGGAUUAAAAGGAUUGAUUUUUAUCUAAUUUUAAAUCAAUAUCAUUAAUUUAGUUUACUCUUGAAACCAAUCUCAAUGUCAAUACAAUUUCAAUCCAAUAAAAUCUCAAUAAUUAUUCAAUGUCAAAACUAUAAAACCCCAAUCAAAAUCUAAAAUUAAAUGAAUGAGUCUCAAAAAACUACCUCUUUUCAAUUUAAUGUAAUGUCUUUUAUUUCAUCUUUCAUUAAUUUCUCAUCAAUUUGUUAAUUGUCUCGAUGAUCCAGUGGUUUUAAAUCUGAGUAGGUACAGUAAUCUCGAAUUCUACAAAAUCCCAAUCGAAUACUACAAAAUAAAAUGGAUUAAGACUUUUACUCGUGGAUCAAACGAAACAUAAUAAGUGUGGGAGAGCCAUGCUUCGACACUGCUGGGUUGGCUCGACCGGAGUGAUACCACGACCGAGCAGAAAACCGCCGUGAAACAACGCUUGCGUUGUUUGAGUGAGAUUACCGGAGGCCCAAUUACCUCGUUCCCAGUGUUCCCAAUCCCCGAUUCCCCAACAACCCUUAAAUUCCUAAUUCCUAAAAGGCCGGCAACGCACUUGUAACGCCUCUGGUGUUUCAAGUGUCCAUGGUGAUCCGUCUGCUCGUUUACCAGCUUAUCACAUAAAAAACAAAAGAAACAGAUAAAGGAGGCAAUUUCCAAUGAAAUAUCUUUCUACAGCUUGACUUAACUUCAUUGCGCGAAGCUCCAUUCAAAUUUUCGUUUGAUCCACGAUUUUUUGGCCACUCUGUAUAAGAAAAUGAAUCUUAAUUUUGAAUGCUUAGCAUUAUAUCGAAUAUCUUCAAAUCAGUAUACACAGUAGUAUACUGUUUUUUAAUCUCAGUGAAUAUACAUUUUUUUAUGAUAAUAAUAAUUAAUGAAUACAAUUAUAUUAAUAACUUGCGAAUAAUAAUCAUUUUAACACUUCUACGCGUAAAUACGUAGAAGUGUCACUUUAUGGUAAGCGUCCACAGGCCCGUAUCGUACGCAUCGGAUAGAUCGCACGCUCAAACGGAUUGAGUGCGUCCACUGUAUCGACAGCGUUCGGAUUGCCGACGUGAGUAUCAGCAAUUGGAUUGCCGAUUCCACUUUCACUUGUAUUUUUGGCAUCAGCAUUCCGUAUGACGUCAUCAGUACGCAUCGCAUGUAGGCAUUGCCGAUGAUGCGGUCCGUACGAUGCGGAUCAGUGGACGCAGUUGUAUGAGUUUCUAUACAAGACAAACUAAAAUACGUUGCGUGCGAUGCGUACGAUGCGGGCAGAAUUGAAAGCAUGUUGGCGGUAAUGCCAAUAUGUUUACAAAAAAAUCAUGAAGUUGUAUAAAUUAUUUCAAUUUCCAUUUUUAUAAAAUGCUAAAUAUUACUGACUGGUACAUAAAGAUUCAGAAAAUGCAUUAAUUCUAGAAGUUUGAAUAAUAUUGUAUCGAAUAAUUCGAUUAAUAUUAUUUGGAAUAAAUCAAGUAAUUAUGCUCCAUAUUAUUCUACUUAUAUGAGAACAUUUUGUAUAAAUAUUUGAAAACUAAUAAAUGAUUUGAUAUAGUUACGAAUAAUUCGUAUAAUUCAGCUUGGUAUUAACGGGUGUGUUGCGAUGAUUUCGAAUAAUUCGAGUAACACCAAAUAAUGUAGUUACGAAUUAAUUAUUCGUAUAAAACUGGAAAAUGGGUGUUGCGAUGAUUUCGAAUAAUCCGAGUAACAUUAUUCGAAUAAUAUGAUUACGAAUAACACCGUUAAAAAUGUACUAAAGUACGCCAAUCACGUUUUACAGGGAAACCCUAACUUGAGACCAUGUUUUGGAAACAAAUGAUUUUUGUAUCGACGCAAAAUGUGAUAAUAAUAAGAAACAUUAUAAAUAAGUUCUUUUAAUAAUAAAAAAGAAAAGUUUGUAAAGAUAUUGGUUUCAAGGAACAGUAUCUACGUAGACAGCGAACGCUAUUCUCCUCUUUCUUGAGGGUCUUAGAGCGGGAGGAUUCCUAAAUAUCGACUCUGAGGAGUCGCGAUGUCAAGUUGUAUACCACAUAUAAAAAUGUAUAUACUAUAUCACCCCCUGAUCUACCAUUCAAGCAAACAAACUUUCAAAUUUAUAAUAUUAAGUGGUAUAAACUUUAAGUAUUAUAGCACACGGAUGAAAACGGCAUGCCAGACUAGCUUCUGCCUGCGACUUUGCCCGUGGGAUAAAAAGUAAACCAUAUUUCAUCCAAAUUGUUCAGUGGGUUUCAGCGUGAUUGACGGAGAAAAAUCCAAACAAACAAAGUUUCACAUUCAUUUUUAUAAUGUUAGUGUGAUAAAAUGAGAGGCACGUGGUCCGUUGCGUUUGAUUUUGCAUACAGUUUUCAUCUGUAUUCAAUAGUAAUUAAGGUUUAUUUUUAAUUGAUUUAUUCUCAGUAUCUUCGCCGCGCCUGCGCUCGUGUCCACUGGGCUUCAAGGCGUUUUAUAGUACAAAUUUUAUUUGCAUUUUUUUUAUUGUACAAAGUGUAUAGAAAUAUAUAAUUAAAUGUUCCCCAAGAAUCACUCAACUGAGCUUAUGUCCUACUAAUAUUAUAAAUGUGAAAGUUUGUAUGUUUUGUUACUCAUUCACGUCAAAACCUCUGAAGGAAUCGAUAUGGCUUUGAAACAGGGGUAGAUUAUGGUCUGAAAUAAUAUAGAUAACUUCUUAUCCCACGCGAACGCGGCCGAAGCCACUGGCAGAAGCUAGUUUCUCAAACGAAUGUAUAGGGUGACUGGUAAUUAGUGAACGAUAUUUAAACACGUGAUUGUACUCAUGAUUACAAACAACAUUCCCAAAGAAACUUUUUUGUAUACUCAUUAGUUUUAUUUUUAUCACAAUAACAAAACCGCAUCGCUGCUAACAGCUGAUCAUGCAAAUGCUCGCGCACGCGAAAUUUGUUGUUUUGUUAUUGCGAUAAAAAAGUUUCUUUGGGAAAGUUGUUUGCAAUCGUGUUUAAAUAUCGUUCACUAAUUACCAGUCACUCUAUACAUUAAUUUAAAUUCUUUGUAUCGAAAUAUUUCUGUCAUAUUUCAUAAUUUGUGUCGAUAACAAAAAAUAUCGUUGUAGUAUUAAGUUAGAAUAAGAUUUUUUACGAAAUAGUAAAGUAACCUGUUAUUGUACGGACUAAUGCGAUAUUUUAUAUAAUAUAUAGUAACUAAUGCUAAUUUCAUACUUGUAUACAGUAUGGAAAUCACUCAUGUGAUUUGACUCGUGGUACGCAUAUGUACGCAAGACAUAAUUAUUUUGGACAAAACGCACCUAGAAGUGAUGUCACGCAAUAUUUCAAAUCGAUAUAUCUUCGAAAGUAUUUGUUUCCGUAAGAAAACAAAAUAUACGUGUCUAAUGUUUUAAAAUAAUCUACAAGACGGAUAUUAAAAGGUAAGCGUCCACAGGCCCGCAUCGUACGCAUCGCACGCAACGGAGUUUAGUUUGUCUUGUAUAGAAACUCAUACAACUGCGUCCACUGAUCCGCAUCGUACGGACCGCAUCAUCGGCAAUGCCUACAUGCGAUGCGUGCUGAUGACGUCAUACGGAAUGCGUACGAUUGUCUGUCAUUGUUAAUUGUAUCUUACGAGUAGUUUAGGGAUUCCAUAAAAAUUUAAGCGAGGUUGGUGAAAGCGGAACGUAUUUGAAUAAAAAUAUUUUUCCCUAUUAUUGAUUGAGUUACUCGUUUAAACAAUUGUUGUUGUAAUACAAAAUUUACAUUUUUAUGUAAUUUAUAUGUAAUUUUUUUGUUUGUAGCUCUAUUUUGAAAUCGAUAAAUAGGUAUAUUUUCAGACACUAAAAUAUAACGUAUUUUGUGUUUUUACAAUAAUUCCUGUACAGUUUAUAAAUGAUAAAGUAUAUUCAUAAUAUUUUAUGUAAGAAACACAUAGACAUAUCGUAACCAUGUGAUCUAUUUCCGACAAAUAUUGAAUUUUAUAAAAGGAUUCUUAUAAA